GACGAACGCUGGCGGCGUGCUUAACACAUGCAAGUCGAACGGAAAGGCCCUGCUUUUGUGGGGUGCUCGAGUGGCGAACGGGUGAGUAACACGUGAGUAACCUGCCCUUGACUUUGGGAUAACUUCAGGAAACUGGGGCUAAUACCGGAUAUGAGCUCCUGAUGCAUGGUGGGGGUUGGAAAGUUUCGGCGGUUGGGGCUGGACUCGCGGCUUAUCAGCUUGUUGGUGGGGUAGUGGCUUACCCAGGCUUUGACGGGUAGCCGGCCUGAGCGGGUGACAGGCCAUCUUGGGACUGAGAGACGGCCCAGACAGGUACGGGAGGGAGCAGUGGGGAAUAUUGCACAAUGGGCGGCAGCCUGGUGCAGCAGCGCCGCGUGCGGGAUGACUGCCUUCGGGUUGUAAACCGCUUUCGCCUGUGACGAAGCGUGAGUGACGGUAAUGUGUAAAGAAGCACCGGCUAACUACGUG
rnacentral:rRNA from 1 species